AUUAUACUCUUACUAGUUGAUAUUUGUCUUGGGAUUUUGUAAUGUGUUACUGAACUUUUUGGUUGUCAUUGUUCCAUUGAAAUGAAGAGAAUAGGAUAAAGGGGACAUGGGGGUGAGGAAAAGGAGACUUGGACGAUACAAACGAUAGACUUUGGUUUUUUUCUCUUGUCUAUGUGAAGGUUGGAUACUCUGAUCUUGAAAGACUAAGGAAUCAUCAAAUGAGCAGCUUUUGGAGUUGGGGAAAGUGCUUGGUCAGAUUAGUGUGAUGAAAUUGUAAAGAGACACGGGGACAAGUAGAAGAAAAACUCUUACUACCAUAGCGUUCCACCAAAUUUUGGGCACCAGUCUCUUUUACGUUAUCCUUUGUAAUAUAAACAAAUUCCUGCUUCGAAGCAACACUACAUGCACUGGUAGUGCUUUCUAAAGAGGCAACAGUUUCCUUUUUUCCUCUGGACCCUUGUAGGCCAUAGACAGAUCAGAGGUUGUUCCUAAAGCAUCUACUUUUUGAAGAAAUUCUUUUCUUUUCUUCUUUCCUUUGGAGACAUUACUCUUUGACCUACUAAGUUCUACCAUAGGUUUAUCCUUGGAAGCUGCUGCUGGAAGAGAUACCAAGCCAACAUUAACAUACUCAGUACCUUCCCCUUCACUUUCCAAAGCUCGUUCUGAAACAGAUGAAAUAGCUGAAAAUGGAGCUUCCUCCUCAUCAGACAGAACAGACUUGGUAACAACAGCUUGUCUACCAACCAAGCUAUCAAUUCUACUACAAGAGACAUCUGAAAUUGAAGUCUUGCUAUCACUGUUUGAACUAGGGGAAGUUUUGUCAUUUGUAUUAUCUAAUUAGUCAGAGUCUUUUAUGUAGUUUUUGUAGGGGAAUUGUUUUCCCCGCUAAUGUAAUGAAUCUUUAUUCAAUGGUUAAAUUGUAUAUUGUGCAUUGACGUUUAGAUA